rfam:Caldithrix sp. RBG_13_44_9 RBG_13_scaffold_4967, whole genome shotgun sequence.
GAAAACUGUAGACCAGCAAACAGUAUAAAAACGGGGCGUUACCGAAAAGCCAAACGAGUAGGACAAAA